rnacentral:rRNA from 1 species
AGCAGCCGCGGUAAUUCCAGCUCCAAUAGCGUAUAUUAAAGUUGUUGCAGUUAAAAAGCUCGUAGUUGAAUUUCGGGAUCAGCAGGUUGGUCUUGCCACUGGUAUGUACUAGCUUGCUGAUUCCUCCUUCUUGUAGAACCGUAAUGCCAUUAAUUUGGUGUUGCGGGGAAACAGGACUGUUACUUUGAAAAAAUUAGAGUGUUUAAAGCAGGCCAGCGCCCGAAUACAUUAGCAUGGAA